rnacentral:rRNA from 1 species
AUUGAACGCUGGCGGCAUGCUUUACACAUGCAAGUCGAACGGGGGUGGGGCAACCCACCUCAGUGGCGAACGGGUGAGUAACAUAUCGGAACGUAUCCUCGAGUGGGGGAUAACUCCGAGAAAUCGGAGCUAAUACCGCAUGAGAUCUAAGGAUGAAAGCGGGGGACCGAAAGGCCUCGCGCUGGAGGGGCGGCCGAUAUCUGAUUAGCUAGUUGGUGGGGUAACGGCCUACCAAGGCGACGAUCAGUAGCUGGUCUGAGAGGAUGAUCAGCCACACUGGGACUGAGACACGGCCCAGACUCCUACGGGAGGCAGCAGUGGGGAAUAUUGGACAAUGGGCG